AAUAGAUACCCAGGUAGUCCUGGCAGUAAACGGUGCGCGUUUGGUGUGGGAGGAUUCGACCCCUUCCGUGCCGGAGCUAACGCGUUAAACGCGCCGCCUGGGGAGUACGGUCGCAAGAUUAAAACUCAAAGAAGUUGACGGGGGCCCGCACAAGCGGUGGAGUAUGUGGCUUAAUUCGAUGCAACGCGAAGAACCUUACCUGGGCUUGACAUGCAUCUCUCAGUCGGUGAAGGCCGGCGAGUCCCGCAAAGGACAAUUUGCACAGGUGCUGCAUGGCUGUCGUCAGCUCGUGUCGUGAGAUGUUGGGUUAAGUCCCGCAACGAGCGCAACCCCCGCCCCGUGUUACCUGUGUCACGGGGGACUGCCGGUGUUGACACCGGAGGAAGGCGGGGAUGACGUCAAGUCAGCAUGGCCCUUACGCCCAGGGCGACACACACGCUACAAUGGAGGGCGGAAUGCGCCGCGACCCGGCAACGGGGAGCAAAUCGCCAAGACCCUUCGUAGUGCAGAUUGGGGGCUGCAACUCGCCCCCAUGAAGGCGGU
rnacentral:rRNA from 1 species